rnacentral:rRNA from 1 species
UACAGAGGUCUCAAGCGUUGUUCGGAUUCAUUGGGCGUAAAGGGUGCGUAGGCGGCGCGGUAAGUCGGGUGUGAAAUCUCGGGGCUUAACUCCGAAACUGCAUUCGAUACUGCCGUGCUUGAGGACUGGAGAGGAGACUGGAAUUUACGGUGUAGCGGUGAAAUGCGUAGAUAUCGUAAGGAAGACCAGUGGCGAAGGCGGGUCUCUGGACAGUUCCUGGACGCUGA